GUGUUUGCACGAGGGAUACUGGGACCCAAGUGGCUACGGGAUCGUGGGACCAAGUGGCCAUGGGAUUAUAGAGCCAAGUGGCUAUGGGAUUCCCCACUUGGGACGGCCCUGGGGGAUGAUCUAGAGAGGAUACACUUCAUCCAUGUAAGAGGCAGAUCUGAGGUCCGGAGCGGGGAAAGUCAUUUACCUCCGAUCACAUAGACUUGACCUUGAGCCCUACAGGGGCCUCAGGGGCUUGGACUAGAAAAAGGGAGAAAGCCAUGGCUGGUUAAGGAUUGAGUGGCUGUGUGAGUAGAAAGGGUGGAGGUGGCCAGGGAGGCAAUGGUGAAGGGCCUAGAUGUGGUCCCACGUCCCCCCCACCCCUCUGGUGUUUUGGGGGCGGGGUUGUUAAAAGGUCUGGGAGAAAAAGACCAGCACUUAACCCAUUAGUGGCUGGAGCUGUGCGUCCGUGUCCAGCCCUCUGCAGCAUCCGGAAGGAGUCGGAGAGAAGCUUGUGGCAGGGAACAGAGGACAAACGGGACAUUGAAGUGACAGCCUAGUAGAGCAAAUGAGGCCAAAGUAGCAGAGGAAGGUCCACGUGGGGCUUCACCUGAGGGGACACUGGGUAGCCACCUGCCCUCCAGAGCCACCCGAGGGCUGAGGCUUGAGCAGUGCGGCCCGGUGACUAAUUAUCCACCCCAGCUUCCCUCUAGGUCAGGCUGGCCUCAUCCCCGAGACCCUCACCAGACCCUUCGCUGGUCCUAUUUGUGCCUGAGACAAUCUUUCGGAAAGCUCUGCUCUUGCGUUUGAGCUGCUCAUUCUAGAUCCUGAGGCUCCUGACUCCCUGACUCAUUUGGGACAUGCCUCUGCCACUCCUGGAUUUGGUGCUUGUUCUCAGCUAUGUGGAUUUCUCCCACCCUGGUCCCCGUCACUGUUUAAGCGCCCUCUACUGACAAAGCCUAGCAUUCCACCUGCUGGCAGAGGAGAACUGCUCCCAGGGUCCCGCACCGCCAUCACGAAGCUGGCCAAUGAGGGGGAGUCCUGGGCUGAGAGGCAACACAUUGACUAGUGGCACAGUGAACCAAAGAAUGGGCUCUCAUCAGACACCAAAUCUGCCAGGGCCUUGAUCUUGGACUUCCCAGCCUCUGGAACUAUGAGAGAGAAAUGCCUGUUGUUUGUUUUUCCAUCUGCAAAACUAAGACGACAAAUGAAACGGAAGGGCCAUUUGAAGAGCAGAGGACGGGGUGCAGAUGUGGUCCCUUCCUCCUUCCGUGGUCGUCCGUGAGAUUCAAGAAGGCAGCCACCUGCCACGUAGAGGGCACUCCGUUUCAGCAGCCACAUGUGGGAUUGCUUUGGUCCCGACGUGCAAACACGUUUCAGUCCGGCUUCUUGGGAGCUCACACGGAUACUUGGGUCUGGCAGAGUUAUUUUUGUGGGUUCAAGAGAGAAGAAAAUAGAGAGCAACAUCCUCGUGUUGACACGAAA